AGUGAACGCUGGCGGUAGGCCUAACACAUGCAAGUCGAACGGCAGCACAGAGGAGCUUGCUCCUUGGGUGGCGAGUGGCGGACGGGUGAGGAAUACAUCGGAAUCUACUCUGUCGUGGGGGAUAACGUAGGGAAACUUACGCUAAUACCGCAUACGACCUACGGGUGAAAGCAGGGGACCUUCGGGCCUUGCGCUAUUGAAUGAGCCGAGGUCGGAUUAGCUAGUUGGCGGGGUAAAGGCCCACCAGGGCGACGAUCCGUAGCUGGUCUGAGAGGAUGAUCAGCCACACUGGAACUGAGACACGGUCCAGACUCCUACGGGAGGCAGCAGUGGGGAAUAUUGGACAAUGGGCGCAAGCCUGAUCCAGCCAUACCGCGUGGGUGAAGAAGGCCUUCGGGUUGUAAAGCCCUUUUGUUGGGAAAGAAAUCCAGCUGGCUAAUACCCGGUUGGGAUGACGGUACCCAAAGAAUAAGCACCGGCUAACUUCGUGCCAGCAGCCGCCGUAA
rnacentral:rRNA from 1 species